GUCUACGGCCAUUCCGCCCUGAAUGCGUCCGAGCUUGUCUGAUCUUGGAAGCUAAGCAGGGUUGGGCCUGGUUAGUACUUGAAUGGGAGAAAAGCUAAACCGACC
rnacentral:rRNA from 1 species